GACCUGAGCUCAGUCGAGAUCACCCGCUG
rnacentral:rRNA from 1 species